GCUGCCUCCUGCUGGUGACGUGACUGAGGGGAAGAAUGUGGUGAGAGAUGGAGCAGAGGCUGGAUUCCCCUGGGGCCGCUACCACCAGCUCAGCCCCAGCCUCCUCAGCUUUCUGCAGCUGAGCCUCCAGACCUACAUUUGGGAGCUGAUCCGUCUUGCUCUCAGUUAGGGCCCAGCCCUUCUGUGGGGACCAGGAAAAUCUUUGCUCACCUGGAG
rnacentral:lncRNA from 1 species